rnacentral:rRNA from 1 species
GCCGUUCGCAACCCCGUUCUUGGAAAUUUGGGUUAAAUUCCCUAACGGGGCCAACCCUUUUUCUUUUUUUCCCGCCGGUAAGGGUGGGCACUCUAAGGAGACUGCCGGUGACAAACCGGAGGAAGGUGGGGAUGACGUCAAGUCAUCAUGGCCCUUACGGCCAGGGCUACACACGUGCUACAAUGGUCGGUACAAAGGGUUGCCAACCCGCGAGGUGGAGCUAAUCCCAUAAAACCGAUCGUAGUCCGGAUCGCAGUCUGCAACUCGACUGCGGAAGUCGGAAUCGCUAGUAAUCGGUCA